rnacentral:lncRNA from 1 species
AACACGGAGAAAAACAAGACAUUGGUAGAUGUUCUUGUUUGCUCAGACAUCUCAUAGGAAGGACGAAGGUACCAAUUCCAGCUGAUGGUCCCUCUCCACUUUGUGUUAGCUCAUGCAUGCUUCUUUAUUGAUCAAUUGUUGUAUGAUCCAUUCACAAUUUUAGGAUGGUGCAUUCUUGAUACAAUUUCCCUUACUCAAUCCAUGCAGUCUAUGGACUGAAAAAACAAUUACUGCAGUUAUUUUCAACUAGUUCUGUGUAGUUUCCAACAUAUUGCUUAUAGUGUCUAGUUUGGUGCUUAAUUCAGCUAGAAAUGCUUUUUGGGAAGACUACUAACACAUAUUCACUCCACAGAAUAGUUAGCGAGUCUCUGAAGCCGAAGUUCAACCUCUUUGUCAAGCAGGUGUCCGCCAGCAUUGGGAUGGCAGAGCCACACAUUGAUGUAUGGAUAUUUUCUGGUUGCUUGCCCCGUUCUCAAACUAAUAAAAAGGAAGUACAUGCUAAUCUUUUGUUUUGCUCAUAUGAUAUUGCUCAUCUUUUGUUUUCUGUCUGAUGCCUCCUGUAUCUAGAGCAGAAAUAUUCUUAAUUUAGUGUUUCUUGAACAUGGCCAGGGCAAUGGAUAAAAUCUACUCUGGAUAGUUGACAGAGGGAGUACAUGCUAAGUUGACUUUUUUCCUGCGGAUUUGCUUAUCGUGAAGAUGCUUGCAAGGAUGAAGAGGGAGCGGAUCAUUUGGAGAGAUAGGAUGCCACUGUUUGGUGUUUUUAUGCAUUUUGGUUUGCUUGUAACUAUGUUUGCACUAGCUGGGAGUAAGUGACUUCAAGAAGUGUAGGUGUUUUAAUUGAAGGCAUGAAAAGCCAUGACAAUAUGUAUGCUCUUACAGGAUAUGCUCUAAUGUUGCUGGUUUAUUAUAAAUCUUGGAUUAGUAAUGAUGUGUAAUGUUGUUGGCUUAUUGCAAAU